CAUUCCGCGUGCAGUGAAGAAGGCCUUCGGGUUGUAAAGCUCUUUCGGCAGGAACGAAACGGUGGGCUCUAACAUAGUCCGCUAAUGACGGUACCUGAAGAAGAAGCACCGGCUAACUACGUGCCAGCAGCCGCGGUAAUACGUAGGGUGCGAGCGUUAAUCGGAAUUACUGGGCGUAAAGCGUGCGCAGGCGGUUGUGUAAGACAGGUGUGAAAUCCCCGGGCUUAACCUGGGAACUGCGCUUGUGACUGCACGGCUAGAGUAUGGCAGAGGGGGGUGGAAUUCCACGUGUAGCAGUGAAAUGCGUAGAGAUGUGGAGGAACACCGAUGGCGAAGGCAGCCCCCUGGGCCAAUACUGACGCUCAUGCACGAAAGCGUGGGGAGCAAACAGGAUUAGAUACCCUGGUAGUCCACGCCCUAAACGAUGUCGACUAGGUGUUCGGUGAGGAGACUCAUUGAGUACCGCAGCUAACGCGUGAAGUCGACCGCCUGGGGAGUACGGUCGCAAGAUUAAAACUCAAAGGAAAUUGACGGA
rnacentral:rRNA from 1 species